CACCUUCUUCCCUCUGUCUCCUGGUCAGCACAAUAUAGAAGCUUCCUGCGUUAUGUAUUCAUGGCUUCGAUACUCUGUCCAGCAACAAGACUCAAAAUAAUCGAGAUGCAACCUUUGAACCAUGAGUCAAAGUAAACUUUAGUCCAUGGGAACAAGUGACCAUCUAGCAAGCAGUUAUGGAGAGAGAGCCGCACACGGCAAAGCAGUAAAGCCCCUGGCCAUCCGCCAAUGCCAACAGCCAUGGAAGCAAACCUCGAAGCCAAUUCUCCAAUUCCAGUAAAGUCAUAAAAGCUCGAUAGCUGGCUGUGAAGCUGGCGGGCAACUUCAAGAUCUCUCAAGAAAAAAUAGGAGCCAAAAGCACACAGCUAUGGUGCCUCCUGACCUUCAGAAAUUCAUAUGAUAAUAAAUCUUUGCUGUUUUAAUUGCC